AAAAUUCAUUGAUUCAAAAAGAAGAUACAUGCCUCCUUUAUAUAGGAAUGGCUUAAGAUGAUGAAAUAAGUAAAAAAUAACUCAUAAGAAAACAAAAGGGUUUCAACCACUAAUUAUCAUGAUAGUGGGUUGAGUUAUUACAAAGAAAGUGCAAAAUAAAGAAGAGAUAGUGGGGUUCUUGAAAGGGCAGAAUAAUGGCAAUUCUUUAUUUACCACUUCUCUUGUAAUUUUCGUCCAUUAUAGUGUGGUUAUUGGUAUUUCCUUUAUUUUUAUUUAUUUAUGCAUUAUUGGGCCUUUUAUCACAUGCUUGGAUGAUAAGAAUAAACCUGGGCUCUUUUUCUUCAAUCUGGCCCAUGCAUUCUAUUGACUUGAUCAUGAAGUGAACUAAAGCAUCAUUGACUCUUCUUUCACGUGCCCUUGUCAUAGGACCUCCUAAGUCUUGCAUUGUAUCAUUUCUGUCUUGGAUUACGUCCUCAUCAUUCCCUCCUUCUUGAAAAGAAUUCGACCUCGAAUUUAGACCAUCAUCACCUACAUCAAAAGGAGAUAAAUCAGCCACAUUAAAAGUAGUACGUACCCCAUACUCACCUGGAAGUUCUAUUUUGUAGGCAUUGUCAUUGAUCCUUGAAAGUACUUGAAAUGGUCCAUCUCCCCUAGGUUGAAGUUUGGACUUCCUUUGUGAAGAGGCUAACAACACUGACCAGAGAAUAACAAUGGUCGGAGUGCGGUUUUGUCGACCCAUGAGACCCUUUAGGAAUGGAUAGAGAUGAAAAAUCACCCAAAAGGCAAAGAAAA